rnacentral:tRNA from 1 species
GGGUAUAGCUCAGUGGUAGAACAUGUGCUUAGCAUGCACGAGGUCCUGGGUUUAAUGCCCAGUACUUCCA